CUGAAUUCACCUAGGCAGGAACAGAGGUCCAUUCAAGGCAGUAAAAAUGUCAUCACCUUUGGCCCUGUCGAUCAAAGUGCAGAGAACACAGCAGUUGGAGAGAGAGCAGAGCCUCUAGGUGUAACGGCAACGCCCCCGUUGCUCCUAGAGUCUCAUUUGCAUAUAUUAAAACUUAAUUUUUCUCAGCAAUGCAGGCACAUAUGAACAUAGGAC